rnacentral:rRNA from 1 species
CCUACGGGAGGCAGCAGUGAGGCAUAUUGGUCAAUGGGCGCGAGCCUGAACCAGCCAAGUCGCGUGAGGGAAGACGGCCCUACGGGUUGUAAACCUCUUUUGCCGGGGAGCAACGGGCGCCACGUGUGGCGCCACUGAGAGUACCCGGAGCACAAGCAUCGGCUACCUCCGGGCCAGCAGCCGCGGUAAUACGGAGGAUGCGAGCGUUAUCCGGAUUUAUUGGGUUUAAGGGGUGCGUAGGCGGAGCGUUAAGUCAGUGGUAAAAUUGAGGGGCUCAACCCCUUCCCGUCUUUGAAACUGGCGCUCUUGAGUGGAAGAGAAGUAUGCGGAAUGCGUGGUGUAGCGGUGAAAUGCAUAGAUAUCACGCAGAACCCCGAUUGCGAAGGCAGCAUGCCGGCUUCCGACUGACGCUGAAGCACGAAAGCGUGGGGAUCGAACAGGAUUAGAUACCCCAGUAGUC